GUGCUUGCUUUGGCAGCGCAUAUGCUAAUAUGGAAAGGAUACAGAGAAGAUUAGCAUGAUCCUACUCAAGGAUGACAUUCAAAUUUGUGAAGCUUUCCAUAUUUCU
ensembl:snRNA U6 U6 spliceosomal RNA